UGUCCUACACAGCUGGACCACAGUGAGGCGGGCACGUGGGUCACCACAGCAGGAGCACACACACAAAUCGGGUCAUUACUGACUUGGGGUGACUCUAGCCUCUGCCUUGGUCAGGGCGUCCGUUUUGACCACUGGGCUUUUUGGGAUUGAAAAGCCACUAGGGGAAGUAAUAGAAAAUGCUGCAUAAAACUUGGAAGAGAGGGAAAAGCAUAGCACCAGCACUCCCAGUUUAGAGUUCUUCCAGCUGAAGUUUUUCCCCUCCCUGUGAGUUUUUGGAUCCUGAUUUUUUUCCCCACAGGACUUUACCAUAACUGCUGUUUCUAGAACUGCCACUUUUCUUGGGCUCCAUUUUUUUUUUUUUUUUUUUUUAACGGUCACUUCAGAGCUCAGCAGACCUCAUGAGGAAAUUUCAGAGAGCAAGAGGGGGAGAAUUAGAGGCUUUGCUGAGGACACAGGCGGUGUAAGGGAGAACUAAGCAUCCACCCGCCUGGAGCAGGUGCUCAUAUCCAGCAUGGGAACAGGCACAGCAUGGGCUGUGGCCUUUCUUCUGGGACCAGCGGCCCUUCCCCAGGGUCCUGAUUUGUAGUCUGCAGGUCUCUGCUCCCCUGGACCUGCCUACCCCGGCUGACCCUCCAUGGCAUCUGCACCAGAGCCCCAUGAGCAGUGCAUCUUCCAGAGGUCCUCUGAACCAAGUCGAGAAGCUGUUAGCAUAGCUGUGUUUUCCCUGAGCACAAUAGACCUGCACAGAAACCUCACCAGCUGCAUCGGCCACAUGGAUGCACUGGCCCUGACAGGUCCAGCGCGCUUCUGCAGCUUCUCUUUGCUCUCCCCUCAUCUCCUUGUGUUUUUAUAAACAAAUUGGGGUGUCCUCUGCCCCACACCCCCUGGUGGCCUCCACUGUCUGGGAGCUGGGGCUGGGUGGUGACAGGAAAAACCAGCAGGUGGCAGAAGACUGUGUCUUCGGGGCUCCCAGCCUCCAUCCCAGCCCUGGGGCUGCCCAGAGACAGGACUCGGCCUUCUUUAGGAGCCUGCAAGGGGAAGUGAGGGCUAAGAACUGAACCCCAAGGAGCACAGGACACCCCUGAUUAAACCAAGAGAUGCUUUACUUGCAAGAACUCUAGUGGAGCCAGGCAGUUACACAGUUGCCUGAAAUUGUCCCAAAAUGGUUGCUUCCUGACCCCCAAUCACCUCCACACCCCAGUUUCUGGAAGAAGGGCUUGUGGUGCUCUCUCCCAGAAAGAGAUCAUUUCUCAUGAACCAGUGGGCAUUUUCCAUCUCUGUUCAGCAUUCUCCAGGCAAGUCUCUCCAUCUCGUCCUGACAAAUGGGCUCCCUGAAGGGACUGCAGACUCCACAAAAGAAGUUUAAACUCUGGAGCCCAGCAGCACUGCUUCUUGCCUUUGGGGAGAGAGAGCUCUGCUGUCUCCAGCUUGCCUGCUUUCCCUGAAUGAGUCUCUGGGUAUCUUCGGCAUCGCUGAAUCCUCACGACAGCUCGGGCGAGCCAAUUCUCCUGGCUCAGUUUCAAAAAGGAGAAAGCAGAGGCCCCAGCAGAGGCUUUGUUUGAGAAAUCUUAGCGUGCGAGCUCUUUUUAUUAAACCCUGCCGUCUGGCCCAGUCCU